rnacentral:rRNA from 1 species
AUGGUCCUACGGGGGGCAGCAGUGAGGGAUAUUGGUCAAUGGGAGAGAUCCUGAACCAGCCACGCCGCGUGAGGGAAGACGGCCCUAUGGGUUGUAAACCUCUUUUGUCGGAGAACAAAACCCGGGACGAGUCCCGGACUGCGUGUAUCCGAAGAAAAAGCAUCGGCUAACUCCGAGCCAGCAGCCGCGGUAAUACGGAGGAUGCGAGCGUUAUCCGGAUUAAUUGGGUUUAAAGGGUGCGUAGGAGGUCCGUUAAGUCAGCGGUAAAAUUGCGGGGCUCAACCCCGUCGAGCCGUUGAAACUGG